UACGAAGGGGGCUAGCGUUGUUCGGAAUUACUGGGCGUAAAGGGCGCGUAGGCGGCGCGUUAAGUCAGGUGUGAAAGCCCUGGGCUCAACCCAGGAAUAGCACUUGAUACUGACGUGCUUGAAUUCGGGAGAGGAUGACGGAAUUCCCAGUGUAGAGGUGAAAUUCAUUGAUAUUGGGAAGAACACCAGUGGCGAAGGCGGUCAUCUGGCCCGUAAUUGACGCUGAGGCGCGAAAGCGUGGGGAGCAAAC
rnacentral:rRNA from 1 species